rnacentral:rRNA from 1 species
UGGCGGCGUGGUUAAGACAUGCAAGUUGAACGGUUGAUUUAGGGUAGCAAUAUUCUGAGUUAGCAGUGGCGUAAGGGUGCUUAACACGUGGGUAAUCUGCCGCGAAGUGUGGGAUAACUCGCUGAAAGGCGAGCUAAUACCGCAUGUGAUUUUCUUGAGGCAUCUCAGGAAAUUCAAACAUGGGUCGCAAGACCUGUGGUUUCGCGAUGAGCCCGCGGCCUAUCAGCUAGUUGGCGGGGUAAAAGCCCACCAAGGCUAAGACGGGUAGCUGGUCUGAGAGGACGACCAGCCACACUGGAACUGAGACACGGUCCAGACACCUACGGGUGGCAGCAGUCGAGAAUUUUUCACAAUGGGGGAAACCCUGAUGGAGCGACGCCGCGUGGGGGAUGAAGGGCUUCGGUUCGUAAACCCCUGUCAUUGGCGAACAAGUGUUGCAUUCUAAUACAGUGUAACUUGAUAGUAGCCGAAGAGGAAGGGACGGCUAACUCUGUGCCAGCAGCCGCGGUAAUACAGAGGUCCCGAGCGUUGUUCGGAUUCACUGGGCGUAAAGGGUGCGUAGGUGGUUGGUUAAGUUUGAGGUGAAAGCUCCGAGCUCAACUCGGAAAAUGCCUUGAAGACUAUCUGACUAGAGGAUUGGAGGGGGAGAUUGGAAUUCUCGGUGUAGCAGUGAAAUGCGUAGAUAUCGAGAGGAACACCAGUGGCGAAGGCGAAUCUCUGGACAAUUCCUGACACUGANGCACGAAAGCCAAGGGAGCAAACGGGAUUAGAUACCCCGGUAGUCUUGGCUGUAAACGGUGCGCACUUGCUGUGAGCGGAUUCGACCCCGCUCGUGGCGUANNUNACACGAUAAGUGCGCCGCCUGGGAAGUANGGUCGCAAGANUAAAACUCAAAGAAANUGACGGGGGCCUGCACAAGCGG